UUCUUGCGGGCCGGACUCUCGGGGGUAGCUGGGAUCCGCGGCAACCGGGGCUUACUUCGCAUCCGGUGCGGGUCGCGGGCCCUACGCGGCUCUGCGGAGGAGUCCGGUAGGGGGGGAAGGAGGUUUGCCAUCCGCGGGGCACGAGGCCCGUAAAGCUUCAGGGACCUCGCCUGAGACAGUUGCAGGGCAGCGCAGCUGAAGACGAGGUGGCCAUCUGCUCCAGGUCUGUCCUCGGAUCUUGCUCAAAAACAGGGCGCUGUUGAAACGAGACACUCAGAUCAGCCGCUUGCUGACUGGUAGGAGUGUUCUCUCUGCAAAUGUCCCCUGGAAGAAAAACUGCAUCAAAUCUUUUCAUAGGACAGAAGGAGAUGUGGUGAGGGGUUUUAGGAAUUAACCUUUGACUUUCCUGCUUUCCUAGUCUGGCGUUCAGGGCGAGAGAGAGAUGUCGUUGAAACCAUUCACCUAUCCAUUGCCUGAAACAAGAUUUCUACAUGCUGGCAGGCAUGUGUACAAAUUUAAAAUCCGGUAUGGCAACUUCAGCAGCUCUCCCAAUUUCGGUCUCACUGAAAGCGCUGCCAAGGAGUCGGAGGAAGUGAUUCGCGUAAUCCUUGGAAAUCUUGAUGAUUUACAUCCAUUUUCUACAGACCACUUCACUGUCUUUCCAUAUUUGAGUAAAUGGGAGCAAGUAUCAAAGAUGAAAUUCAAACAUGAGAAUGUCCAUCUUGUGCCUUAUCCCUACAUUUGUACGUUGUAUCUAGAAUUGAUCUCAUUUCAGCGAAACAUAUCUUGUGGUGAAGAAGUAAACAAGGGCAGUGAUGAGCUUGUCAGGAGAAGAAACGAAAUGUCAGAAAGUACUGCAAUGAAAGAAGCAGUGAAGAGGAGAAGAGUGGAAGUCAGAGAUGAUACCUCAUGCCCACAGUCAUGUAUGGACAGAACUGGAGCUGACUGUGUUCACCACAUAAAUAAAGCAGAGCAAGGAUUUGAAAAGAAUUCCUCCAAAACAAAUGAGCUUGAGUUCAGCCCAGCAUCCCUUACUAAAGACUGUGACCAACUGAGUUUCUGGGGGCCUGUGGAAUUUGGCCUUGAACAAAAAAGAGUAGCCAGUCAGGCCAAGGGUGCAGUGCAGCUGCUGCAGCAAAUGGACCAAACAGGAAAAAAAGGAAACAUGAAGUCAGAAGGAAGAGGCCUCUCACAGUUCUGGAGAAGCUGAGAAGUGCCAGUGUCUUCCUGGAUGGAUCUUCAGUCUCAUGAAGCUGCAUGUGACCUUUAUUUGGCCAUUGAGCAAAUCUGGACUUAGACUCCCAAAGGCACCAUUUUAAAUGGAAAUCAGUGUCACUGUUCAGACACCUGCUGGCUGGCCAAAGGAGUUCUCUCAUGCUGCUGAGGCUGGAUCCUGUGAGUGCCAUCCAUCACUGCACAGAACCAGCAUCAUCUUUUCGCCACUACAACAUCUUUUUGGUGGAAAAAACUGACCUGGAAGUACUAAUUGUUGUGGAAAGGUAGAUUUGUAGUAUGACUGUUGGGUUGCAGUGUUUCUUCUGUAAUUCAGCUUUUCACAUUGCUUGUCUCAGCUAUUAAAUGCUUUAAAUUAAAUUCUACUUUGCUAAUGUUUUCAAAGUAACAUUCUGUUGGGUUAGAACAAUAUGGGGUUUUUCUUCACAUCUUAGAGGUUUUGGAAUAGAGCAAGAAACUUUAAGAUUUUGAUGCUUAAGUGUCAUAAAUUGUGAAUUUCACAUUAUGUGGUAUUCUAAUAAAACAAGCAUCAAUUUGGAA